AGAGUUUGAUCCUGGCUCAGGAUGAACGCUGGCGGCGUGCCUAACACAUGCAAGUUGAGCGAUUUACUUCGGUAAAGAGCGGCGGACGGGGGAGUAACGCGUGGGUAACCUACCCUGUACACACGGAUAACAUACCGAAAGGUAUGCUAAUACGGGAUAAUAUAUUUGAGAGGCAUCUCUUGAAUAUCAAAGGUGAGCCAGUACAGGAUGGACCCGCGUCUGAUUAGCUAGUUGGUAAGGUAACGGCUUACCAAGGCGACGAUCAGUAGCCGACCUGAGAGGGUGAUCGGCCACAUUGGAACUGAGACACGGUCCAAACUCCUACGGGAGGCAGCAGUGGGGAAUAUUGCACAAUGGGCGAAAGCCUGAUGCAGCAACGCCGCGUGAGUGAUGAAGGCCUUCGGGUCGUAAAACUCUGUCCUCAAGGAAGAUAAUGACGGUACUUGAGGAGGAAGCCCCGGCUAACUACGUGCCAGCAGCCGCGGUAAUACGUAGGGGGCUAGCGUUAUCCGGAUUUACUGGGCGUAAAGGGUGCGUAGGCGGUCUUUCAAGUCAGGAGUGAAAGGCUACGGCUCAACCGUAGUAAGCUCUUGAAACUGGGAGACUUGAGUGCAGGAGAGGAGAGUGGAAUUCCUAGUGUAGCGGUGAAAUGCGUAGAUAUUAGGAGGAACACCAGUUGCGAAGGCGGCUCUCUGGACUGUAACUGACGCUGAGGCACGAAAGCGUGGGGAGCAAACAGGAUUAGAUACCCUGGUAGUCCACGCUGUAAACGAUGAGUACUAGGUGUCGGGGGUUACCCCCUU
rnacentral:rRNA from 1 species